rnacentral:rRNA from 1 species
AAAAGAAACCAACAGGGAUUGCCUCAGUAGCGGCGAGUGAAGCGGCAAAAGCUCAGAUUUGAAAUCGCCUUUCGGGGCGAGUUGUAGAUUGCAGGUGGGAGAGUUUGUGGAGGCGCGUGCCGAAGUCCCUUGGAACAGGGCGCCAUUGAGGGUGAGAGCCCCGUGCGACGCGUGCCGAAGCUUUAACUCCCCUCUGACGAGUCGAGUUGUUUGGGAAUGCAGCUCUAAGUGGGUGGUAAAUUCCAUCUAAGGCUAAAUACUGGCGAGAGACCGAUAGCGAACAAGUACUGUGAAGGAAAGAUGAAAAGCACUUUGAAAAGAGAGUGAAACAGCACGUGAAAUUGUUGAAAGGGAAGGGUAUUGGGCUCGACAUGGGAAUUGCGCACCGCUGCUCAUUGUGGGCGGCGCUCUGGGCUUUUCAUGGGCCAGCAUCGGUUUUCGCCGCAGGAGAAGGGGCUGUGGAAUGUAGCUGCUUGCAGUGUUAUAGCCACUGGCCAGAUGCUGCGUGUGGGGACCGAGGGCUGCGACAUCUGUCUCGGAUGCUGGCACAACGGCGGC